AGGGAAGUAGCUGACGGCGCGAGGGGAGAGGCAGAGACGGGAGGUGGGGGAGUGGAGUGGAGAGGAGUAGAGCCGAAUCCGCGGCGGAAGUGCACGGCGCUCCGCGCCACCGCCGGCCGAGCCCGCGCUGAAAUCCGCGAGCGGCGAGCGGCGCACAGCAUAUGUUAGUGUGGACUGGAAUCUCGAUGUCAAUGAAAGGUACUUCCUUGUUUUAACCGUUAAGAGGUCAAUGGCCAGUCUGAGUGACAAAUCCUGGAAAAGAUGUCACCUUUCUUCCUGUAACCUAUUGAAAAGCAGAAAGAUCAAAGACUUACCAUCUUGAGGAUUUGUCUGACUGAAGCUUAGCCGUAGGCUCACCAAGAGCAUGAACAGAAGUAGCAGCCACUGCAUCUCCACCAUCGUACCACACGGUGUCACCCUCCACGCAAAUCAAAUUCACACCGGAGGAUAGCAAAAUCUGCUGAUUGUUCUUGUCGAAGAGCACUGUGCAGUGAACAAGCUCGAGUAGAUGCCAAAUGGCGUCUCCCUCCUUGAGGCUGGCAACCAGGCAAAGAAAAUAGCUAAUCAAACAAGACAACCUUAUAUAACUUGAUUCAAGGGAAUUCUUAUCAAACAUUGCCUAUGAGAAUGCUUACCAGGUCCAAGCAACAUGCACAUAGAAAAUGCAUGUAUGCGUUGUAGUGGGAGGCUUAAUUAAAAGAAACCUCUGAAGAGCUCAGUUGCUGAUCAAAAUGUGAAAUGAUUUAAUAAACCGUUUACUUGCAGUUACUUCUUGCCUGUUUUAUCUAUGGAGCCUUAUCUGGGAACACCUUCUGGGUUUUGAUCCAGUCAGAACUUCUUGGUUUGGACGUUCUUGGCUUUUAUACGUUUUUGUUGGGACCGUUGGAGCUGUAAACAACAGUUUUCAGGCUAAGUCAAAGUGCCUGCCAAUGCCAACCUUUCUGAUGGGAUAUGGCAUCAGAAAAUGGAUCGACAUAUUAUCCUAAGUAACUGCCUGUGAAUGCUUCCAUGGCUUCUCAAGGACAGUGAAAGCUUUGGGUUAUGUCAGCAGGAAGCCAAGAUUUUGUAGAGGAUUAUGUUCUCCGCUGGAUCCAACAAAGUAAACACCGAAAAAUGAUUCGGUGUGACAUCAUGCAACGCAAAUUAUGCAAUUCACGGUCACAUUCAGUGGGGCAGGAAGGCCAAUUUCUGUUAAUACAUGGCCGGCCGGCUUCUUCCUUUUGUAGGUAUUGUUAACAGCUUCAUCAGGUAACAUUAGGUGCACUAUAUACACAGCAAAUGGCGGAGCCGGCGACACACGAAAAAGAUCCUUCUGCAUGAGGCCAAAACUCAAUGGCACCCAGUUGCCUCUUGCUUCCUUCCACUGGCCAGCUGAUAUAAUGCAUUCGCAUUUGUUUCGUCCAUUGUUCUAAUUGAAAAUAUAAGCCUGACGCAGUUGAGUUAGAUGGCUUGGUGACAAUCGUGCUCGUAUGAAAUGUACUGGUGUGAGAAAAAUGUCUUCUUUUUUCUUCUGUGGGAGUAAUCGGUCAAAGCGAACAACAUGUCACAUGUGCCGUUUACUUGGCAACUUAACUGCUGAAAUGUUCUUCGGAGUUUAGUCUAAUGAUAAGCUGGUUGAUAUUCUGCAGCUGAAAGUAUUUACUGAAAGGAAUAUGGAGUUCACAAGUUACUA